CGAACCCCUGACCUCAGAUGAUCCACCCGCCUCAGCCUCCCAAAGUGCUAGGUUUACAGGCAUGAACCACUGAGUCCAGCCCUUUUAUUGGAAUAUGUUUUAAAGCAAAUUCUAAACACCAUAUCAUUUCCUAUCCCCUAAUACCUCAGUUUACGCAUCAAAAGAAGAAAAAAAAACCCUGACAUUUUGUAACACCUAACAAAACCAGCAAUUCCAAUAACCAAUCUAUAGUGGCUCUGAAAGGUGGGCCUUUAUCCCAAGGUCACACUGUUAAUAAGUGGCAAGUUGCAAACCCAGGCAGCCUGGCUUCAAAGCCCAGUACCAAGGCACGGGAGAGGAUGCUGGACAGAUGAAACAAAGAUGUCUGCAACCCUGCCUUCUCUUUCGAGGCUCUGCAGGAAGUCUAGGUAAGCUGGAACUUGAACUCUUUCUUUCUUCACUGUAAUUCCCUUCUGACAUUGUUCCUGGGACUUUAGAAAUAAAAUGAACCUGAAUUUGUACAGACUGGGCUUAUCUUGAGGAUGCUAAAGGGAUUAAGUGGCAACAGCGAUGGAGGGUCCCUGCUGCCUGCUGUCCUCCCUAGAUUCAGAAGGGAACCAUCAGGACCCCAUGGAGUGGGCUGCGGCUUGGAGACACAGAUAGUGGUGCAGACCACCACAGCCAGGCGCAACAAGAAAGACUUCAAUGCUAGCAUCAUAAUCUACAGAGGACAAACGCAAGAGAGAAAGCCUACACCUGCCCAGAGGACAUGGCCCUGGGUUUCCACUCAGAGCUGAUGUUCAACUGGCACACAGUAUUUCAGCUGUGCUACUUGCAUUACAGGAGAAAUUGUGACUUUGAAAUGAACCAAGAAGGUUACAGUUGUCUUCAAAGGAAAAAGAGUCAGUCUAGCAUGCCAUUCCAGAUGUGACUCUAUGGUGUAUCCUGUGCCUUUCUUGACUUUAAGCUAUUUUACAACUCUGUAAGUUGUGCAUAACUGAUAGCAAUGCAAAUAAUAGUAACAUUUGUCUAUAAACAUGCAAAUAAAUUUUAUCCUGU
rnacentral:lncRNA from 1 species